AGAAUACGUCCCCAUGCCCAUGCGUUGUAGUUCAUAUGCGCGCUGACGAUCUCACGAUGCCGCCGCCGCAGAAAAAUCUUGUCGUUGCAAGUUGUUCGGACAGUUCUGUUGUCGAAUUGGAAGACGGAGGGCCAUCGCCGGGACCUUCGCGUCUACUGAACCAAGCUGAACAGGCAGAAACCCUGAAAGCAGCAGCCUGCUGGCAGUGGACGUGUGCUGUUGGAAAGCGCCAGGCACCAGGCGCCGCCGCUCGAGGUGGGCUUUCGCGUUUGACCGAGGCCGAGAGGGCAGAAGCCCGGAAAGAAGCGGCACGUAAGCAUGCUCGUGAUUUUCGAAAGCGCCAAGCAGCAGACCCCGCAGCCACACAAGCUCGCAGAGAAGCGGACCGGGAACGGAAAAGAGUCGCGAGGAAAAGACUGUUAGAAUUGGGCGAUGGAGCCUUACAGCGCUUACAGGCCCUUAGAGAAGCGGAUCGGGAGCGCAAGAGGACCGCAAGGAAGCUCCAGGCGGAAGCAGUCGCACAAGCCCGAAGAGAAGCGGAUCGCGAACGCAAGAGAGCCGCGAGAAUACGCACAGCGGAAGAUGAUGGUGUGGUCGCGCAAGCCCGACGAGAAGCGGAUCGCGAACGCAAGAGAGCAGCGAGAAAACGCAGUGCGGAAGAUGGUGGUGUCGUCGCACAAGCCCGACGAGAAGCGAAUCGCGAACGCUUGAGGGCCGCGAGAAAACGCAGUGCGGAAGAUGGUGGUGUCGCACAUGCCAGUAGUAGAGAAGCGGACCGGGAACGGAAAAAAGCCGCUAUAAAACGGCAAGCAGAAGAGAACACCUAACGGCAGCAGUAGCAGCACAGAUUCGCGGUGGGAAGAGGCAUACUUGGGCAGCUGGUUCAAUAUCAGCAGCCAGUUUGGAGCCCCCUGCGACUUGUGCAAUCGCCCGUGCUACCAAGACAGUCUGUGGCCACCGCUCCCGAUGUAUGCGGAUUUGCUGGUGCAUCUGUUCCCUGGGAAGAACGCUAGUGCUCUCCACGUGUGUGCCUCGUGCCGGACGACCCUGCGAGAGAACGAGACGCCCGAUCUUUCUCAGACCCUCGGUGCGGUCUCUCCACUACGUGCUGAGAAUGAGCAGUCUAGCUCUAGGUGCGGACGCAAGUCACUUCCUGCCGGAUCCACUACAGCUGUGCAAGCGGACGCUUCUGUGCAGUGCAGUCGGAAAGCAGAUGUUGGUGUCAAGUCCACACAGGUGGAGCUGUUUUCAUCUACGGUCGCCAGGUCAGCGCACUGUGAAGAUCUGAUGGACUGUUGUGGUGCUCCUUUUCUUGUGGAACAGCCGCUGCCAGACAAAGGUCCAGCACCCUGCAUUUUGGAUGGAUGAUGAUUUAGCGCCCUGUGUAAAACUGUUUGGGCUUACGUCAAGAGGAACUGUUUGCAAGCGGAACCAUUGAAAUGGCCACUGCGAUAUAAAAUCUCAGGGAACGGAGGUGUGACCAGUCUGACAAGGUGCAUCAACAUGCUUCCAGCCCUAAGGAGGAAGCACAAACUGCCAUUACCUCAACCGUGUUAAUAUAAGACGGCAUUGCAGAAUAAACGCUGUUUUGUUCAAUACUGCUU